GACGAACGCUGGCGGCGUGCUUAACACAUGCAAGUCGAACGGAAAGGCCCUGCUUUUGUGGGGUGCUCGAGUGGCGAACGGGUGAGUAACACGUGAGUAACCUGCCCUUGACUUUGGGAUAACUUCAGGAAACUGGGGCUAAUACCGGAUAGGAGCUCCUGCUGCAUGGUGGGGGUUGGAAAGAUUCGGCGGUUGGGGAUGGACUCGCGGCUUAUCAGCUUGUUGGUGGGGUAGUUGCUUACCAAGGCUUUGACGGGUAGCCGGCCUGAGAGGGUGACCGGCGACAUUGGGACUGAGAUACGCCGCAGACUCGUAUGGGAGGCAGCAGUGGGGAAUAUUACACAAUGGGCGGAAGCCUGAUGCAGCAACGCCGCGUGCGGGAUGACGGCCUUCGGGUUGUAAACCGCUUUCGCCUGUGACGAAGAGUGCGUGACGGUAAUGGGUAAAGAAGCACCGGCUAACUACGUG
rnacentral:rRNA from 1 species